UUAACACAUGCAAGUCGAACGGAGGUAUUUUGGUUUACUGAGAUACCUUAGUGGCGGACGGGUGAGUAACACGUGAGCAACCUACCUUAGAGAGAGGGAUAGCUUCUGGAAACGGAUGGUAAUACCUCAUGACAUAACUGGAAGGCAUCUUUUGGUUAUCAAAGAUUUAUCACUCUGAGAUGGGCUCGCGUCUGAUUAGCUAGAUGGUGAGGUAACGGCCCACCAUGGCGACGAUCGGUAGCCGACCUGAGAGGGUGAUCGGCCACAUUGGAACUGAGAGACGGUCCAAACUCCUACGGGAGGCAGCAGUGGGGAAUAUUGGGCAAUGGGCGAAAGCCUGACCCAGCAACGCCGCGUGAGUGAAGAAGGCCUUCGGGUUGUAAAGCUCUGUUAUAGGGGACGAAGGAAGUGACGGUACCCUAUAAGGAAGCCCCGGCUAACUACGUGCCAGCAGCCGCGGUAAUACGUAGGGGGCGAGCGUUGUCCGGAAUGACUGGGCGUAAAGGGCGUGCAGGCGGCUUUAUAAGUCUGGAGUGAAAGUCCUGCUUUCAAGGUGGGAAUUGCUUUGGAUACUGUAGAGCUUGAGUGCGGAAGAGGUAAGUGGAAUUCCCAGUGUAGCGGUGAAAUGCGUAGAGAUUGGGAGGAACACCAGUGGCGAAGGCGACUUACUGGGCCGUAACUGACGCUGAGGCGCGAAAGCGUGGGGAGCGAACAGGAUUAGAUACCCUGGUAGUCCACGCGGUAAACGAUGAAUGCCAGGUGUUGCGGGUAUCGACCCCUGCAGUGCCGGAGUAAACACAAUAAGCAUUCCGCCUGGGGAGUACGGCCGCAAGGUUGAAACUCAAAGGAAUUGACGGGGGCCCGCACAAGCAGCGGAGCAUGUUGUUUAAUUCGAAGCAACGCGAAGAACCUUACCAGGUCUUGACAUCCAUCUAAACUUACAGAGAUGUGAGGUCCCUACGGGGGAGAUGAGACAGGUGGUGCAUGGUUGUCGUCAGCUCGUGUCGUGAGAUGUUGGGUUAAGUCCCGCAACGAGCGCAACCCUUAUGGUCAGUUACUAACGCGUAAAGGCGAGGACUCUGACGAGACUGCCGGGGACAACUCGGAGGAAGGUGGGGACGACGUCAAAUCAUCAUGCCCCUUAUGACCUGGGCUACAAACGUGCUACAAUGGUGACAACAAAGAGAGGCGAGACCGAGAGGUGGAGCGGAUCUCAAAAAAGUCAUCCCAGUUCGGAUUGUGGGCUGCAACCCGCCCACAUGAAGUUGGAGUUGCUAGUAAUCGCGGAUCAGCAUGCCGCGGUGAAUACGUUCCCGGGCCUUGUACACACCGCCCGUCACACCAUGGGAGUUGGGAGCACCCGAAGUCAGUGAGGUAACCGCGAGGAGCCAGCUGCCGAAGGUGAGACCGAUGACUGGGGUGAAGUCGUAACAAGGUAACC
rnacentral:rRNA from 1 species